AAAGAGAUUUUAAACCUUAAAACAUUAUGAAGUACAGGGUAUUUAUCUGGACACUGUGGGACUAGGGAGCAUAGAUUCCUCCUGAUACGAAAGAGAUCAAAGAAAUUUGGGUGCAUUAAUACGGGUUCUUAAUUGUGGCAUUAAUAGUUUUUCUUACAUACAUGUUUUCUCUCUUCUUUUAGAUAACAAGGAGAGGAAUAUUUACAAGCUUCAGAUUUUGGCUGCCUGUCUGAAACUUGAUGAUGUUCCUUGUCACAAGGCCGUAGACUUAGUACUGCCAUCGCUGCCACCUGCACCAUUGUAUCCAAAUGCAAAGGUGGCCGAGGUGCUGAGCAGCCUCCUGGGAGAGGGGUACUUCUUGGAAAAUGUACAGUUGCCACAUAAUCAUCAUAUCGAUUUUGAAAUCAGAAUGGAUUCUAACAGGAGUGAAGUGCUUCCACUUUCUGAUGCGAAUGUAGUAACUUCUGCUACAGAUAUUCAAAGAGUGGCUGUACUGUGUGUUCCUAGAUCUACUUACUGUUUGGAUUUAACCCACCCUAGAGGAUUCCUUGCUACGAAAAUGCGUCAUUUGAAAGUAAUGGGUUUUCAUGUGAUCUUGGUCAACAAUUGGGAGAUGGAGAAACUAGAGAUGAAGGAGGCGGUCACAUUUUUGAAGUCUCAAAUCUAUUCAACUGAAAGUCCUCCUACCGCUGAUGUUAAUUUUCAGAGCACGUGUUAAAGUAAAAAACAACCUUUUCAUAUUAGGAGACAGACAUAAAUUUGUAAAAUAACUUUAAUAAAGACUACAAUUCAACUAUCAA